GGCCGCCCCAGGGAAGCUUCGCCCUGGCCUAGAUCGCCUUUUCCCCCCUCCGCCCCCCUCCUCUCCCGCGCAGCAGGGCCGCGGGUGCGGGUGGCGCCCACCUGGCUGGGGAGGGGGAACCCGCUUGGCCCCGGGAGAGAUUUUGCAGACUCAAGAAGAAAAUACUCUUGCCCUUUUGUCAAUUUUAUUGUGAGCUUUUGGCUUGGAACAAAGUGGUGGAGAAGAGUGACAACCUACUGGAGACAGAAAACACAAAUAACAUUUAAGUCAGAUCACAUUUGCAGAAAAAGAUGAGGUAAACCUGACCUCACAUGAAUUCUAGAAUGAUGGAGUAACUGAAUUUACACAUGACACCAAGUUGAAAAGCUGUGGUUGUGAGGAAAAUAAUACUUAGAAACAGGCGGGAAGGCUUCGGGUAAACCCAGGUUUUCUGACGGAAGCAAGUUAACACGAGGAGUAGUA